GUCUAUGGCCAUACCACCCUGAACGUACUUGAUAUUGUCUGAUCUCGGAAGCUAAACAGGGUAGGCCCUGGUGAGUACUUGGUUGGGAAGAAAGAAGCCAGACUAGAAUGGAUU
rnacentral:rRNA from 1 species